AUACCAGACUCCUACGGGAGGCAGCAGUGGGGAAUAUUGCACAAUGGGGGAAACCCUGAUGCAGCGACGCCGCGUGAGUGAAGAAGUAUUUCGGUAUGUAAAGCCCUAUCGGCAGGGAAGAAGCAAGACGGUACCUGACUAAGAAGCCCCGGCUAACUACGUGCCAGCAGCCGCGGUAAUACGUAGGGGGCGAGCGUUAUCCGGAUUCACUGGGUGUAAAGGGAGCGUAGACGGCCAAGCAAGCCAGGGGUGAAAGCCCGGGGCCCAACCCCGGGACUGCCCUUGGAACUGCUUGGCUGGAGUGCGGGGGGGGCAGGCGGAAUUCCUGGUGUAGCGGUGAAAUGCGUAGAUAUCAGGAGGAACAUCGGCGGCGAAGGCGGCCUGCUGGACCGCUACUGACGUUGAGGCUCGAAAGCGUGGGGAGCGAACAGGAUUAGAUACCCCUGUAC
rnacentral:rRNA from 1 species